CGGCCGCGGUAUCCUGACCGCGCGAAGGUAGCGUAAUCAUUUGUCUUUUAAAUGGAGACCUGUAUGAAAGGCAUUACGAGGAUUUAACUGUCUCCUUAAUUUAAUCAGUGAAAUUGAUCCCCCCGUGAAAAAGCGGGAAUAAAGCCAUAAGACGAGAAGACCCUAUGGAGCUUAAAACCUCAAACUACUUGUAUAACCUGCCUAUUAACAAGCACUAAAGACAAACCUAGUUUAAGUUUUCUGUUGGGGUGACUGUGGAGAAAAACUAAUCCUCCAUGAAGAAUAAACUUAGAGCUACCACCCUAAGUAUUAGUAAACCUAACUUUAAUUGAUCCAAUCUUUGAUCAACGGACCAAGUUACCCUAGGGAUAACAGCGCUAUCCAUUUCAAGAGUCCCUAUCGACAAAUGGGUUUACGACCUCGAUGUUGGAUUAGGACAUCCUAGUGGUGAAGCCGCUACUAAUGGUUCGUUUGUU
rnacentral:rRNA from 1 species